CAGUCGCCGCGGUAAUACGUAGGGUGCGAGCGUUAAUCGGAAUUACUGGGCGUAAAGCGUGCGCAGGCGGUUGUGUAAGACAGGUGUGAAAUCCCCGGGCUUAACCUGGGAACUGCGCUUGUGACUGCACAGCUAGAGUAUGGCAGAGGGGGGUGGAAUUCCACGUGUAGCAGUGAAAUGCGUAGAGAUGUGGAGGAACACCGAUGGCGAAGGCAGCCCCCUGGGCCAAUACUGACGCUCAUGCACGAAAGCGUGGGGAGCAAACAGGAUUAGAUACCCCCGUAGUCCCUGUCUCUUAUAU
rnacentral:rRNA from 1 species